rnacentral:rRNA from 1 species
UACAGAGGCCACAAGCGUUAGGCGGAAUCACUGGGCUUAAAGCGUGUGUAGGCGGGAUGGUAAGGACUUUGUGAAAUCCCACGGCUUAACCGUGGAAUUGCUUGGUAUACUGCCGUUCUUGAGUCAUCCAGGGGCAGCCGGAACAGAUGGUGGAGCGGUGAAAUGCGUAGAUAUCAUCUGGAACGCCAAUGGUGCAGACAGGCUGCUGGGGAUGUACUGACGCUGAGGCACGAAAGCCAGGGGAGCAAACGGG